rnacentral:rRNA from 1 species
AGUGAACGCUGGCGGUAGGCCUAACACAUGCAAGUCGAACGGCAGCACAGUAAGAGCUUGCUCUUACGGGUGGCGAGUGGCGGACGGGUGAGGAAUACAUCGGAAUCUACUUUUUCGUGGGGGAUAACGUAGGGAAACUUACGCUAAUACCGCAUACGACCUACGGGUGAAAGCAGGGGAUCUUCGGACCUUGCGCGAUUGAAUUAGCCGAUGUCGGAUUAGCUAGUUGGCGGGGUAAAGGCCCACCAAGGCGACGAUCCGUAGCUGGUCUGAGAGGAUGAUCAGCCACACUGGAACUGAGACACGGUCCAGACUCCUACGGGAGGCAGCAGUGGGGAAUAUUGGACAAUGGGCGCAAGCCUGACCCAGCCAUACCGCGUGGGUGAAGAAGGCCUUCGGGUUGUAAAGCCCUUUUGUUGGGAAAGAAAAGCAGCAGGUGAAUACCCCGCUGUUCUGACGGUACCCAAAGAAUAAGCACCGGCUAACUUCGUG